rnacentral:lncRNA from 1 species
GUUUUGUUUGUUUUGAGACGGAGUCUCGCUCUGUCGCCCAGGCUGGAGUGCAGUGGCCGGAUCUCAGCUCACUGAAAGCUCCGCCUCCCGGGUUUACGCCCUUCUCCUGCCUCAGCCUCCAGAGUAGCUGGGACUACAGGCACCUGCCACCUCACCCGGCUAGUUUUUUUUUGUUUUUUUUGGGGUUUUUUUUUGGUAUUUUUUAGUAGAGAUGGGGUUUCACCAGGUUAGCCAGGAUGGUCUCAAUCUCCUGACCUCGUGAUCCACCCGUCUCGGCCUCCCAAAGUGCUGGGAUUACAGGCUUGAGCCACCACACCCGGCUCAGGCCUGGUUUUAUACCCUCCUCAGUUCCCUUUGGCACCCGGAGAGGACUAGGGAGACAGUGGCCCCAGAAGUAGUUUAAAAUUUUUUUAUUAUUUUGAAAAGGGAUUACAUUCACGUGUUUCAAAAUCCAAACAAGAUAACAUGGCAUAGAGUAAGAAACCUUUCCCCCUUCCUACCCUGUAAUCCUGCUUUUCGUUUCCUGUGUGUCCUUUCAGAGCUCCUUUUGCUUUCAAAAGCAAAUACAGAUGGGGCAGCUUCUGAAUGGAUGGCCAAGUGACUCUGGAGCUUCCGUGCUGUGUGAGGACUGGGCUUUCUGUCCCUGUUCACCCUCAGGCUGCAGCCACCGCACGGACAGCCUCAGAGGAGGAAUCUUGAGGAUCUGUGGGUGGAUAUGGCACCACUGGCUGCAAACCACAUUGAUCUGAGGGGAGCUUGGGGCUUGCCUGGGACGUCCACGAUGGACACCCUCCAAGGUCACAGCCAGGGGAGGAGAUGGUUCAGAUCGCACCUCUACCCUGACUCAGCACACACAGCUGUACUGUCAGGGGCUGCAAACCAACAUCUCUCAACACCUUCCUGGAAGCUGCAGCUGGACUCCCUUUGUACUCCAGAGGAGCAUCCUGGGAGGCCCAGGUCGGAGCUCCUGGAGGGUCCCUGGGCUCUGGGGGACAGAAGAACAGGCGAGCUGGAAGCUGUUUUGGGGAGCAGGAGGUAUGAGGGCAGUUGGAGGAUAAGUCUCCACAAGGCACAAGGAUAAGUCUCUUGUUUCUCUCUUUUCACCAAUGGCACUUGGCAGGGAGGAAGAAUCGAAAUGUGGCUUGCUGGGCUCUGUGGAUCUGGCACUGGAACAGCUGUCCAGGCUUUGGGGCCCCCAAUACCCCUACUGCUCUCCCUCAGGCCCCGGAUCUGUUUGGGCCCCCAGUGGGCGACCACUUUGUGCUGGUCCACCACAGGGAAAUAUUCUGGUGGUGGCAAGCUCUGCCCUGUUCUCAGAGAGCUCUGGCCGGGCCUGGUGGACAAAUCCCAGGCCAAGCCAUAGGAUUCGGACUCUGGGGCUAUAGAAGUUCCAGAAAGAGGACUAAAGCAGCAGCCCUGAGUAUCAGUCAGUGAAUGUGGCCUGACAUUGGCAGAUGGCUUUAGCACAGGCUUCCUGGACGGGGAGGAGGGAGACUGCACUGAACGGGUUUCUGAAGCUUGUUCCCUGACGCCGAGCAUUCCACCACAUCACUUAUAGAAUGUGCGGCUAUGAACAAGGGAUUUUGCUGCUCUGCUCCACAGUCUCCUUGUCUGUGAAAUGGGAGUAAUCGUAGAUUCGAAUCCAGAGGGUUGUUGGGAGGAUUCCAAACGUUUGUCGUGGUGCCUGGUGCAAAGCAAUUGCUCAACCAAGAUGAGCCACUAGGUUGCUAUUUCCAUCACUGUGAUUAGAGGAUGGAACGAAUAGGAAACGGUGGAGAAAGGAGGGGCAGGCGGCCCAGGUGGCUGCCGAAGUGGGACUAACAGCACCAAGGCUGGUCCUCCACCUCUCCCAGCACAAGGAGGGAAGCACAGGCUUCGAAGUUGCUGAAUUAUCUAGGGCCCUGCCCCAGCACCCAUACUCUGGGGACCAAAUUUUGCCAGCUUUUUGCCCCAGGUUCUCUAAUGACUGAUGCCAUCGGUUCUAGGUACAGUGAAUGGAUUGGGGAAAAUGUCUGGGGCCCAGGGCGGAGUAGGAAGUAAGUGCAUGUUUGCCUAUUGUGACCGUGCAGAAGACCACCUCUUCCAGGAGCUGAUGGGUGGGUGCAUCAGGCUGAGUCAGUCCACUGAGCCUCAGGAGGCAGGACAGGUCCUUUCCAGCUUUGGGCCUCUCUUUCCUCAUCUGUGCAAUGGGAAGGUGUGGCUGGACCCGGUGACCAGAAAGGCCCAGCUGUGAAUGGCUGUCUCUGGGCUGGCAGUCCAGGGCAGGAGCCAGAAGUGGAGGAUUGCGGGGGCGGGACUGCUUUUGAGGAGGGCCCCCCAGAGUGGAAGCGUGGGCCAGGAUAGGGCAGAGCCUGUCCCUCCCUCUUGCUGCCUGGCAGGUGACAGCUCCUCCACUCCCUGAACAAGGCGAGGCUGACUGACGAGAAGGCUGCAGAGCCAGGCUGUCAGCAAGUGUCCCCUGCCACCUUUGUGUGACUAAUUUGCAUAACAUUUGCACAAAUCUGCAUAAUUUAGGAACCAACCAGUAUUCAUCUCGGGCAGUACAAUUCGCUGUGAUUUUAUGAGCUUUGAAGUGACCCUUUCUUCUCCUGCCCACAGCCCCUCCUACCUUCCUUUGCUCUAAGUCUGGCCUGUCAUCCUGUUGUCUGCCUACUUCUCUGGGGCUGGUGGAUGGGCCUCCCAGGCUUUCUUGGGUCCCCAGAGAGGGCCCUUCUGCAGCUGCCAACUGGAGUUGCCUGUGAACUGUGACACUGGUCUCCGUGCAAUCCUCCAAGGGGCCAUCACGAAGGAGAUUUGAGGACCCUGAGAAAGCUCUACGUGGUUCAUCAGGAGUGGGUGAGGCCAGAGUGACCAAAGCCUCUUUUCUGACAGGGCACAAGGAUGCAGGUGUCUGGGCUCCCAUGAGGCUUUGCACUUGAUGCUGGUGAGGCCGGGAUAGUGCCCUGAGGAUCAAGGCGCAGGACAGGGCAGAGACUAUGACUGCCUACUCAAGCAGCUGCCCCCAAGGGAACCAACUCACAGAUUACUGUCAGUCCAGGUGGAUGUCCCUAGAGCAGUGCCACAGCGAUCUGUCCUUGCCCUUUCAACAUUUUUAUUCUUAGGUUAGUUAAGGCUUUCUUGGGUACAAGUAGCAUGAACUCCAAGUGGUUUAGGCAAAAGAAAAAAAAGAGAGGAUUUACUCUCUAAUGUAACUGAGAAAUCCAGGGGUAUAUGAUCUUCAGGCACAGCUGGAUCUAGAGGCUCAAACACUAGCAUGCCCCUCCUUUCUCCACCGUUUCCUAUUCGUCCCAUCCUCUAA